rnacentral:rRNA from 1 species
UCCCUACGGGACGCAGCAGUGAGGAAUAUUGGUCAAUGGGCGGAAGCCUGAACCAGCCAAGUCGCGUGAGGGAAGAAGGCCCUGCGGGUCGCAGACCUCUUUGGACGGGGAGCAAGGCCGCCGACGUGUCGGCGGAAGGAGAGUACCCGUAGAACAAGCAUCGGCUAACUCCGUGCCAGCAGCCGCGGUAAUACGGAGGAUUCAAGCGUUAUCCGGAUUUAUUGGGUUUAAAGGGUGCGUAGGCGGUCGGAUAAGUUAGAGGUGAAAUCCCGAGGCUCAACUUCGGAAUUGCCUCUGAUACUGUU